rnacentral:rRNA from 1 species
UGGGGAAUUUUGGACAAUGGGGGAAACCCUGAUCCAGCCAUGCCGCGUGCGGGAAGAAGGCCUUCGGGUUGUAAACCGCUUUUGUCAGGGAAGAAACGGUUCGACCUAAUACGUCGGACUAAUGACGGUACCUGAAGAAUAAGCACCGGCUAACUACGUGCCAGCAGCCGCGGUAAUACGUAGGGUGCAAGCGUUAAUCGGAAUUACUGGGCGUAAAGCGUGCGCAGGCGGCUUCGCAAGACAGAUGUGAAAUCCCCGGGCUCAACCUGGGAACUGCAUUUGUGACUGCAUGGCUGGAGUGCGGCAGAGGGGGAUGGAAUUCCGCGUGUAGCAGUGAAAUGCGUAGAUAUGCGGAGGAACACCGAUGGCGAAGGCAAUCCCCUGGGCCUGCACUGACGCUCAUGCACGAAAGCGUGGGGAGCAAA